GACGAACGCUGGCGGCGUGCUUAACACAUGCAAGUCGAGCGGGUCCAACUUGUCGCAAGACAAGGGAAGGCCUAGCGGCGAACGGGUGAGUAACACGUGAGGAACCUGCCCCGAAGACUGGGAUAACACCGGGAAACCGGUGCUAAUACCGGAUGUCCACCGAGGAUCGCAAUGGUCUUUGGNGGAAAUGGAUUCCGCUUCGGGAGGGCCUCGCGGCCUAGUCAGCUUGUUGGCGGGGUAACGGCCCACCAAGGCGACGACGGGUAGCUGGUCUGAGA
rnacentral:rRNA from 1 species